rnacentral:rRNA from 1 species
GGGUUGUGAGGUUAAGCGACUAAGCGUACACGGUGGAUGCCCUGGCAGUCAGAGGCGAUGAAGGACGUGCUAAUCUGCGAUAAGCGUCGGUAAGGUGAUAUGAACCGUUAUAACCGGCGAUUUCCGAAUGGGGAAACCCAGUGUGUUUCGACACACUAUCAUUAACUGAAUCCAUAGGUUAAUGAGGCGAACCGGGGGAACUGAAACAUCUAAGUACCCCGAGGAAAAGAAAUCAACCGAGAUUCCCCCAGUAGCGGCGAGCGAACGGGGAGCAGCCCAGAGCCUGAAUCAGUAUGUGUGUUAGUGGAAGCGUCUGGAAAGGCGCGCGAUACAGGGUGACAGCCCCGUACACAAAAAUGCACAUAUUGUGAGCUCGAUGAGUAGGGCGGGACACGUGGUAUCCUGUCUGAAUAUGGGGGGACCAUCCUCCAAGGCUAAAUACUCCUGACUGACCGAUAGUGAACCAGUACCGUGAGGGAAAGGCGAAAAGAACCCCGGCGAGGGGAGUGAAAAAGAACCUGAAACCGUGUACGUACAAGCAGUGGGAGCACGCUUAGGCGUGUGACUGCGUACCUUUUGUAUAAUGGGUCAGCGACUUAUAUUCUGUAGCAAGGUUAACCGAAUAGGGGAGCCGAAGGGAAACCGAGUCUUAACUGGGCGUUAAGUUGCAGGGUAUAGACCCGAAACCCGGUGAUCUAGCCAUGGGCAGGUUGAAGGUUGGGUAACACUAACUGGAGGACCGAACCGACUAAUGUUGAAAAAUUAGCGGAUGACUUGUGGCUGGGGGUGAAAGGCCAAUCAAACCGGGAGAUAGCUGGUUCUCCCCGAAAGCUAUUUAGGUAGCGCCUCGUGAAUUCAUCUCCGGGGGUAGAGCACUGUUUCGGCAAGGGGGUCAUCCCGACUUACCAACCCGAUGCAAACUGCGAAUACCGGAGAAUGUUAUCACGGGAGACACACGGCGGGUGCUAACGUCCGUCGUGAAGAGGGAAACAACCCAGACCGCCAGCUAAGGUCCCAAAGUCAUGGUUAAGUGGGAAACGAUGUGGGAAGGCCCAGACAGCCAGGAUGUUGGCUUAGAAGCAGCCAUCAUUUAAAGAAAGCGUAAUAGCUCACUGGUCGAGUCGGCCUGCGCGGAAGAUGUAACGGGGCUAAACCAUGCACCGAAGCUGCGGCAGCGACGCUGAUGCGUUGUUGGGUAGGGGAGCGUUCUGUAAGCCUGCGAAGGUGUGCUGUGAGGCAUGCUGGAGGUAUCAGAAGUGCGAAUGCUGACAUAAGUAACGAUAAAGCGGGUGAAAAGCCCGCUCGCCGGAAGACCAAGGGUUCCUGUCCAACGUUAAUCGGGGCAGGGUGAGUCGACCCCUAAGGCGAGGCCGAAAGGCGUAGUCGAUGGGAAACAGGUUAAUAUUCCUGUACUUGGUGUUACUGCGAAGGGGGGACGGAGAAGGCUAUGUUGGCCGGGCGACGGUUGUCCCGGUUUAAGCGUGUAGGCUGGUUUUCCAGGCAAAUCCGGAAAAUCAAGGCUGAGGCGUGAUGACGAGGCACUACGGUGCUGAAGCAACAAAUGCCCUGCUUCCAGGAAAAGCCUCUAAGCAUCAGGUAACAUCAAAUCGUACCCCAAACCGACACAGGUGGUCAGGUAGAGAAUACCAAGGCGCUUGAGAGAACUCGGGUGAAGGAACUAGGCAAAAUGGUGCCGUAACUUCGGGAGAAGGCACGCUGAUAUGUAGGUGAGGUCCCUCGCGGAUGGAGCUGAAAUCAGUCGAAGAUACCAGCUGGCUGCAACUGUUUAUUAAAAACACAGCACUGUGCAAACACGAAAGUGGACGUAUACGGUGUGACGCCUGCCCGGUGCCGGAAGGUUAAUUGAUGGGGUCAGCGCAAGCGAAGCUCUUGAUCGAAGCCCCGGUAAACGGCGGCCGUAACUAUAACGGUCCUAAGGUAGCGAAAUUCCUUGUCGGGUAAGUUCCGACCUGCACGAAUGGCGUAAUGAUGGCCAGGCUGUCUCCACCCGAGACUCAGUGAAAUUGAACUCGCUGUGAAGAUGCAGUGUACCCGCGGCAAGACGGAAAGACCCCGUGAACCUUUACUAUAGCUUGACACUGAACAUUGAGCCUUGAUGUGUAGGAUAGGUGGGAGGCUUAGAAGUGUGGACGCCAGUCUGCAUGGAGCCGACCUUGAAAUACCACCCUUUAAUGUUUGAUGUUCUAACGUUGACCCGUAAUCCGGGUUGCGGACAGUGUCUGGUGGGUAGUUUGACUGGGGCGGUCUCCUCCUAAAGAGUAACGGAGGAGCACGAAGGUUGGCUAAUCCUGGUCGGACAUCAGGAGGUUAGUGCAAUGGCAUAAGCCAGCUUGACUGCGAGCGUGACGGCGCGAGCAGGUGCGAAAGCAGGUCAUAGUGAUCCGGUGGUUCUGAAUGGAAGGGCCAUCGCUCAACGGAUAAAAGGUACUCCGGGGAUAACAGGCUGAUACCGCCCAAGAGUUCAUAUCGACGGCGGUGUUUGGCACCUCGAUGUCGGCUCAUCACAUCCUGGGGCUGAAGUAGGUCCCAAGGGUAUGGCUGUUCGCCAUUUAAAGUGGUACGCGAGCUGGGUUUAGAACGUCGUGAGACAGUUCGGUCCCUAUCUGCCGUGGGCGCUGGAGAACUGAGGGGGGCUGCUCCUAGUACGAGAGGACCGGAGUGGACGCAUCACUGGUGUUCGGGUUGUCAUGCCAAUGGCACUGCCCGGUAGCUAAAUGCGGAAGAGAUAAGUGCUGAAAGCAUCUAAGCACGAAACUUGCCCCGAGAUGAGUUCUCCCUGACCCUUUAAGGGUCCUGAAGGAACGUUGAAGACGACGACGUUGAUAGGCCGGGUGUGUAAGCGCAGCGAUGCGUUGAGCUAACCGGUACUAAUGAACCGUGAGGCUUAACCUUACAACGCCGAAG